rnacentral:rRNA from 1 species
CAGUCGCCGCGGUAAUACGGAGGGGGCUAGCGUUGUUCGGAAUUACUGGGCGUAAAGCGUACGUAGGCGGCUUUGUAAGUUAGAGGUGAAAGCCUGGUGCUCAACACCAGAACUGCCUUUAAGACUGCAUCGCUUGAACGUCGGAGAGGUGAGUGGAAUUCCGAGUGUAGAGGUGAAAUUCGUAGAUAUUCGGAAGAACACCAGUGGCGAAGGCGGCUCACUGGACGACUGCUGACGCUGAGGUACGAAAGCGUGGGGAGCAAACAGGAUUAGAUACCCCAGUAGUCCCUGUCUCUUAUAC